GUAGGGGGCAAGCGUUGUCCGGAUUUAUUGGGCGUAAAGAGCGUGUAGGCGGCCAGGUAGGUCCGCUGUGAAAACCCGAGGCUCAACCUCGGGACGUCGGCGGAAACCAUCUGGCUAGAGUUCGGGAGAGGAGAGUGGAAUUCCCGGUGUAGCGGUGGAAUGCGCAGAUAUCGGGAAGAACACCCGUGGCGAAGGCGGCUCUCUGGAACGAUACUGACGCUGAGACGCGAAAGCGUGGGGAGCGAACAGGAUUAGAUACCCUGGUAGUCCACGCCGUAAACGAUGGGUGCUAGGUGUGCGCGGUGUCGACUCCGUGCGUGCCGAAGCUAACGCAUUAAGCACCCCGCCUGGGGAGUACGGCCGCAAGGCUAAA
rnacentral:rRNA from 1 species